GACGAACGCUGGCGGCGUGCCUAAUACAUGCAAGUCGAACGAACCGCGACUAAGUGCUUGCACUAAGUCAAGGUGAGUGGCGAACGGGUGAGUAACACGUGGGUAACCUGCCUCAUAGUGGGGGAUAACAGUCGGAAACGACUGCUAAUACCGCAUAGGACAUAGGAUCACAUGAUCCAGUGAGGAAAGGUGGCGCAAGCUAUCGCUAAGAGAUGGACCCGCGGUGCAUUAGCUAGUUGGUAGGGUAAAGGCCUACCAAGGCGAUGAUGCAUAGCCGACCUGAGAGGGUGGUCGGCCACAUUGGGACUGAGACACGGCCCAAACUCCUACGGGAGGCAGCAGUAGGGAAUCUUCCGCAAUGGACGCAAGUCUGACGGAGCAACGCCGCGUGAGUGAAGAAGGGCUUCGGAUCGUAAAGCUCUGUUGUUAGAGAAGAACAGCGCAUAGAGUAACUGCUAUGCGUGUGACGGUAUCUAACCAGAAAGCCACGGCUAACUACGUGC
rnacentral:rRNA from 1 species